GAAUACCGUUACAUUUUCACAGCCUUGACGAGGCUGGUCUGUAAAGGGAAAACUGACCGUAGACUGACCUCGCUGAUUGUGUUUGGAGGGCAGCCACAUUUCUGACUGAUGUUUAGACACUAAACAUGUCAAAGUGAAGCACUGAUCUAAGAAUGAUUAUUAAGGAUAAAUAUUUUGUGUUGCUUUAAGAUAAAUAAUUAUCUUAAUUUUUAAAGAUGUUUACUUAAGUGUUUACUUAAAAAGUAGUGUUUUGACUUAGAAAAAGAUUUAAUUUUACAGAUGGGGAAAUGGAUAUUGUUACUGCCACAUCCUGCUGUUUACAGAUGUCACAUGUAAUAUCCUAACUGAUGAUCCUUCAACCUCUUUAACUAUGCUUUUCUCUUUUUGGCAGCAUAAGAGUGUAAAAGGGAAUCGGUUCCAUCUUGAGAUAUAUAGACGGACACACUAUUAGUAGAACACUGACAUACGUAAAUGACAUUGUUCGGGUUUUUGUCAAUAAUGUAGUAUGGUUAUAGGGAAUUCAGUAUGUACCUUAACAGCCUGGUACCUGAAAUAAAGAUGUCACAAUAUCACAAAGAA